rnacentral:lncRNA from 1 species
AAAAGUAUUAUACGUUAUUGAAAAAUAUUUUCCACUUCACAUAGGAAAAACACUUUGGUCCGGAGUCAAAAUUUGCUAUCCGGCAGAAAAAUGAGGCUUCGACUUCAAAGUGCUCAACUUGCGAGUUGACGGUAUUUUUACUUUUAUCCUCUAAUUUAUUUGUUAUGCUGAUUUUGUUUAAAUUGGUAAUAACUAAUAAGUAUGCUAUGCUUUUGCAGCAGGAUGAUUUCAUAUGCACCGACGAUCUUUUAUCUACUUUGGAAUGUAAGUUUUCAUCUUGUUUAAACUGCUUUAUGAAACAUAAUGUUGUUUUGCCUCAUCUAAUUCAUGUGUUGAAUGUGAUUUGAUACAGAAGGGAGAUACAAAGCUGUCAAAAUGAGCUGGCAAGAACUAGGUGGAUCAAAUUUUAGUUAACCAUUAAACAAGUUGGAUCGCAAAACAUUUAUCUAAAUUUUUACAAUAGGACUUACUCUUCAACUUCCAUCAUUUGAAAUUUUUACAAUGUCAUGGGCGCAAGGUGCUGCACAGGCAUGUCCC